CACAAGCGAAUAGUGGCUCGUGCCAUCUGUAUCAGGUUCCUCCCAAUCAUCAUCGGUCAUAUUUACUGGUUUCUUAUCUUUUUAAGUAAUGCCUUGUGUUGCCCUUGCUGUACCAUUAAAUCUUGCAUUUUUAUUUACCAAAUUUCAAUAUCACCUUUUCCCAUUAAAUUUCUCCACCUCAAACUUGUGAGAUGCCAUUUUUUGAUACCACUUGUUGGAAAAUCGGGAUCGCCUAAAUCCCUACUUGAUGUGUGAGCACCCUACAAAAAUGAUUCCAACAUGCAAACAAAAUACCCAAAAACAAUAAUGUGUGCAAUACAUUUGGGAAAAAUGUAGAAACAAGAAAAACAAGUAAAAUGGGAAAUCACCAAACUACAACAUAAGUAAAAGGCACACGCACAUUUACGUGGUUCAUCCAAAAUGGGCUACAUCUAUGGACAAGUGGCAAGGAUGCAUUUACUAUCAAUGGAAAAAAUCUACAAGUUUGGGCUUUUAUAGAGAUUACCUCAAUCAAUGGCAAAGAAAGCUCAAGUAUAAAUUUUCUACCACAAUACCACUAUCAAUUGACUCAUCUCUUCAUCACCGUCGACCAAGACCAUCGCUGCAAAGAAAUAUCGAUGAAAAACCGACUCAAUAUGAGGCCACAAUGGUGUUAGGGUUUGGGCAAGAAACCCCCAAUCUCUACCUCCUAAAACUUCUCUACACUUCUCUCUUUUUGUUUUCUCUCUACAAAUAUACUUUUAUGUGCCUCUAUAAAAGACCUUUCUUUUAUGAGGAAAAUACCACUCAUGAAAAAGGGAAUGCCAUUUGGGCGUGAUUUUGGCAUCCCUACAGUCACAAAUUAGGUUUUCUUUGGGAUUUUAUUUUGUGUUUAUUUUAGAGUCUUUUAAGUUGCUUUACUUAAGAUGCUUUUAUUUAGUAGGAUUAUGAUGGGAAUAUAUGGUGGAGACUAGAAGGGAAUUGAUUGAUGGGUAGGAUUUACAAGCUUGUAAGGUUUUUUGUGUUUAAACUUAUUUAAAUAGUGGUUUUAGGAGUUGAGAGGAGACUUGGAAUAUUUACCUCCUGUUAUUGAUUUAUUCUAUAGAAGAAAACUUGAAGCUUGUGAUGCUUUCGUGGUUGAUUUCUAUCUGUUUAUUAUUUUAACUUGGUGGUUUGAGUAUUUGCAUGAUCUAGUACUUUUAUUAGAUAAAUAAGUUAUUCAGGCUUGUGUGAUGUUGAUGAUGCAAACAAAUACAAACUGUACUAAUGAAAAUUCUUUACGAAUUAUUUAUACAUUAUUUUUGUGAAUUAUAUAUGCAACCUCUUGAUACCAUAGUUUGAUAUCUGCUUGCGGUCCCUUCUUGUCUAUAAUUGUUAACAAUAUAAGGGUUUGGACAUUCCUAACAUAAGUUCAAGCUUUUGUUCAUGUGAUGCUUCUUGAUGAAGUGCCUAUAUGUUGGAUUCCUUUAUUAUCUUUGGUACCUGGGAGAAACAUGGGUCAUUAUUUCUAUAUCGUUGUCAACCAACUAGCCGACUCCAAAUAGUUGGGAUAAGUCUCAGAUGAUGAUGAUGAUGUUUUCAACCAACUAUUCCUCCUCUUUUCAUCUGUUUGUGCUUUCAACGAUCUUGAGAUUGAACAUUUUGUAUAUUUUGAAUAUGAGUUCCCCUCUUGACCCUACAAUGUUGCUGUUUAAUUCAUUAUAGCUUUCUCCUGACAACUAUGGCACUCCUAUCAGGAGACCAUUAUUCAACACACAUGGCUGAGUGUUGUUUACUUUUCAAAGUAUCACAUUGAGUGGUUACUAUUAUUGUAUCAAAAAUGGAAAAAAAAAGGAGCAUUGAUGGUUGACUGAAAAAAAAAUAAAUAGAGAAUUAAACUUUAGAAAAAAUACAACAAAGUUGGCUUCUUGUGGUGAGAUGGUUUCCUCUUGGUAGAAGGGAAGCAAAUAUUUUUUUAUCUUUUGAUAUUGUAAUUUUUCAUGGAAAUUUUAACUGUAUCUUAUAUUUUUCUAUUGGACGUUAUUACAAAAUUUCUCAUGCCUAGUCUUUGGUAAUCUGUAGGCCCCAUAUUUACUUUAUUUUUUGACUAAAUAGGAUGAUUAUCAUGACCAACCAUUUAAUUUUUGAUUGUCUGCUUGUUAUGACCCUUCGUGCCAUGCAUGGUGCGUGUCUUUUGUUCUUCUUGCUUGACAUGCUAUAACUAUACAUAAAGUUCAAUUUAUCAAACUUGUUAGUUGUGCGUUGAUUAAAUCUUGUGUCUUGCCAGCUUGAGAUUGACCUGUUGAUUGUAGUGAGUAAUGCUAUUAGUAGGGGUGGCGACCUAUAGGGUUGGUCCAGGUCGACCCUGGCUCAGACCUUACCCAACUAGGUUUCACAUGGAGCCAGACCCGGAUCGGGUCCAACCCCAACCUGAGUCCAGAGAUUAAAAAACAAAAAAAAAUUACAUAUUGUUAUAGUAUAUAGUCGGUUGGGUCGGUCCCGAUCUGUACCCAACCCUGCUCGACUAGGGGUCCAAGCCGGACUCGGACCCAGGCACGACUGGGGUGGGGUAAAAGUCAUUUGGAAAUGAGCAGGACCUGACCCAGUACAUCCAAGACAUGGACCUAGCCUAGGAUCUGACCCAAUUGCCACCCCUAGCCUAUUAGUUGAAUUUAUUAUGCAUGUUCAUGUUUCUCCUUAGUAAAUACCUUUUAUUCAUCAGUAUUCGGCAAGGUGAUCAAUGGAUCUAUUUCUUUCCUGAAUUUUGUUGGUAAUAUAGUUUAUAGCAAUGUUGCCUAAGUUGCUUUCUCAUGUCUCAUGUCCUAUUAGUUUAUUAGUGUUAAUAUGUGCCAUUCUUAGCUAAGUGGUUUCUUUUCUGACUUAGUUUGGUUUAUUCUCAUUUGCACCCUGUGCAAGGAUUGCUUGGAUUGUUAUUUAUGCCUUUGUGGCUGUCAAUGAACCUGGACUGUUUUGUUCACAUUUUAUCCCAUAUGGUGGGUUGUCGUUUUUGUUGGUUUUGUCAAAUGGAUGGUGAAGCAAAUGCUAUUACUUUCUUUGAGAAACCUGACUUCAAGUAUGGGAGUUCCCAGGUACUUGUCUGGUGUCAGCUUGGAGAAAUUACCAAUAGAAAACAACAGUAGCUUGACCCUUAGUUCUGGAAAAUGGGAGUUGGGCAGUGGCACCUUCUGUCACCGGGUCAAGCCCGUCCAAAGCAGGCAUGUAUAUUGGUGCUUGAUGAAGCAACAACUUCUGUCGACACGGCCACAGACAACUUAAUUCAGAGGAUCAUUCGAACAAAGUUCAGAGAUUUCACAGUCCUCACUAUGGCACAUCGUAUCCCAGCUGUGAUUGACAGCGACAUGGCUCUAGUUCUUAGUGAUGGUGAGUAUGGGUUUAGUAGUUGGAUUUGUAUUUAUAAAACAGGAAACUAUAUCUUAAUUCAAUGGACUGUGUAAAAAGGGUAGGCCAUGUGUCUAGAUCAUCCUAUAAAAAAUGGAUGAUGAUGGACUGUGCAACCCAUCAUUGGAUUCAGUCUUACUGUUGGAUACAGUCUCUUUCCAUUGCCAUCCAUCAUUUUAUCUAUUGUGAUGAGCUCAGUGGACACUGUUUCUUCUGUAGUCCAUAUGAUACGGUGAAAUGGGUAAGUGCAGGAGAGAGAGCUUCGUAUGAUGAUCUACAAGUGCAGGAGAGAGCGAGCAUCUUAUGAUAAUUUACCAUUGUGAUCACCCCAGUGGACACUGUUUAUUAUAAUCUAAGAGACUAUGAAAAGGACAUAUCCGAUGGAAUGGGAAAACGAUCACCUCAAUGGAUGUCUCUCUUACCAUCUUAUCAAGUUAGCAAAAUCUUCUGCUUCUAGUUAUUUCUGAUGAUAUAUAUGAAAAAAUACUGGUUCAUGUCAUGGGAUGGCGUCCAGUAAUAACUCAAGGAUCUGGUAUGUUUCUGAUUAUAUAAUCUGGUGUUCUUAUUGCAUGACUAGGCCUUUGCGUUAUUAUUUUUCUUUCAAAGGUCAAACUUACUAUUAAUUAGGGGGUAAUCGGUUGUUAUCUAGUAGCUGACAAGUGUUUGAAUAUUACGAGAGUUUGUUUCAGAAAAGCAAGAGCAUUUUAGGGUGUUUAGUGAGGUAUGGACAAUAACAGCAAUUUGGUGUUUCCUUCGGAUAAAA